rnacentral:rRNA from 1 species
UCCGGUUGAUCCUGCCAGAGGUUACUGCUAUCGAGGUUCGACUAAGCCAUGCGAGUCGAAUGUAGCAAUACAUGGCGUACUGCUCAGUAACACGUGGACAACCUGCCCUUAGGUCGGGUAUAAACCCGGGAAACUGGGUAUAAUCCCCGAUAGGUCUCGGCUGCUGGAAUGCAUCGAGAUUAAAAGCUCCGGCGCCUAAGGAUGGGUCUGCGGCCCAUCAGGUAGUAGUGGGUGUAGUGUACCUACUAGCCUACGACGGGUACGGGUUGUGAGAGCAAGAGCCCGGAGAUGGAUUCUGAGACACGAAUCCAGGCCCUACGGGGUGCAGCAGGCGCGAAAACUUUACAAUGCUGGCAACAGCGAUAAGGGAACCUCGAGUGCCAGGUUACAAAUCUGGCUGUCGAGAUGCCUAAAAAGCAUUUCAUAGCAAGGGCCGGGCAAGACCGGUGCCAGCCGCCGCGGUAACACCGGCGGCUCGAGUGGUAACCGUUAUUAUUGGGUCUAAAGGGUCUGUAGCCGGCCGGAUAAGUCUCUUGAGAAAUCUGGCAGCUUAACUGUCAGGCUUUCAGGAGAUACUGUCUGGCUCGAGGCCGGGAGAGGUGAGAGGUACUUCAGGGGUAGGGGGUGAAAUCUUGUAAUCCUUGAAAGACCACCAGUGGCGAAGGCGUCUC